UCCCUGGUGGCUCAGAGGUUAAAGUGUCUGCCUCCAAUGCAGGAGACCCGGGUUUGAUCCCUGGGUUGGGAA
rnacentral:tRNA from 1 species